UGAAACACGGACCAAGGAGUUUAUCGUGUGCGCAAGUCAUUGGGUGUUGAAAACUCAAAGGCGCAAUGAAAGUAAAGAAUCCGCAAGGAUACGACGUGUGAUCUGAGCAAUCACGAUUGCCUGGAGCAACAUGGCCCCAUUCUGGUCGCUUGCGACGGGGUGGAGGAAGAGCGUACGCGGUGAGACCCGAAAGAUGGUGAACUAUUCCUGAGCAGGAUGAAGCCAGAGGAAACUCUGGUGGAAGUCCGAAGCGAUUCUGACGUGCAAAUCGAUCGUC
rnacentral:rRNA from 1 species